rnacentral:rRNA from 1 species
AUUGAACGCUGGCGGAAUGCUUUACACAUGCAAGUCGAACGGCAGCACGGGUGCUUGCACCUGGUGGCGAGUGGCGAACGGGUGAGUAAUACAUCGGAACGUACCCUGACGUGGGGGAUAACGUAGCGAAAGUUACGCUAAUACCGCAUACGUCCUGAGGGAGAAAGCAGGGGAUCGUAAGACCUUGCGCGUUAGGAGCGGCCGAUGGCGGAUUAGCUAGUUGGUAGGGUAAAGGCCUACAAAGGCGACGAUCGGUAGCGGGUCUGAGAGGACGACCCGCCACACUGGAACUGAGACACGGUCCAGACUCCUACGGGAGGCAGCAGUGGGGAAUUUUGGACAAUGGGCGAAAGCCUGAUCCAGCCAUUCCGCGUGAGUGAAGAAGGCCUUCGGGUUGUAAAGCUCUUUCGGCAGGGAAGAAACGGUUUUGGAUAAUACCCAGAACUAAUGACGGUACCUGAAGAAGAAGCACCGGCUAACUACGUGCCAGCAGCCGCGGUAA